CGGCACGGGUGCGUAACGCGUAUGCAACCUACCUUUAACAGGGGGAUAACACUGAGAAAUUGGUACUAAUACCCCAUAAUAUCAUAGAAGGCAUCUUUUAUGGUUGAAAAUUCCGAUGGUUAGAGAUGGGCAUGCGUUGUAUUAGCUAGUUGGUGGGGUAACGGCUCACCAAGGCGACGAUCAGUAGCCGGACUGAGAGGUUGACCGGCCACAUUGGGACUGAGACACGGCCCAG
rnacentral:rRNA from 1 species